GGGACUGGAAAAGGUGUCUGUGGAAGCCCUGCCAUCCCUGGCCUUGACUUCUGUCUUCCUUGUCCUGAGAACUCAUCAAAACCAUAGCCUAUCUUCAGAAGAGAGGGGACAUGAAUUUUGGGCCAGAAAACAUGGUCCUAUACUGAGUGCUCAGAAAUAUUCAGAGCAAGGAAAAUGGUCCAGAAGGAGAAAGGAAGAGCCAGGAGGCCUUGGUCAGUCAUCCCUUCAAGGUGAAGAUCUGUUUGGAACUCUUUAAACUGGCUCCCACUGAGAGAAACAUUUGGAAGAAGGAAGAACGAUCUCUCUUAGAAGAGUUUUCAAAGUGUGGUCUCCACAGCAGCAGCAUCGACUGGGAGUUUGUUAGGAGGGAGAUCACAAGGGCUGGACUCUUAGCCCUCACUUGAGUCACAGGCAAGAUAUGCAGGCCCUCACUCAGACCCAUUUUCUUGUCUUUUUUUUUUUAAUUGAGCCGUAAUUAGUUUCAGGUGUACAAUGUGACUAUUCAGAAUUUGAAAUUUUGUGAAAUAAUUACCACAAUAAGUCUAGUUAACAUCCAUCACCAUAUGUAGUUAAAAUUUUUUUUCUUGUAAUGGGAACUUUUGAGAUGUAUUUUCUUAGCAACAUGCAAAUAUGCAAUAUAAUAUUAUUAACAAUA